UACAGAGGUCCCAAGCGUUGUUCGGAUUCACUGGGCGUAAAGGGUGCGUAGGCGGUCGGGUAAGUCUGUCGUGAAAUCUCCGAGCCCAACUCGGAAACUGCGUCGGAUACUAUUCGGCUAGAGGAAUGGAGGGGAGACUGGAAUUCUCGGUGUAGCAGUGAAAUGCGUAGAUAUCGAGAGGAACACCAGUGGCGAAGGCGGUUCUCUGGGACGGUACUGACGCUGAGACGCGAAAGCGUGGGGAGCGAACAGG
rnacentral:rRNA from 1 species